AGAGGUAUGGUUCAAGCAUAGAGUAACUGACUAGCAAUCAUGAAUCCCUGAGUUCAAAUCUCAGUACCACCG
rnacentral:tRNA from 1 species